AUCUACUUUCAUAGUACGAGAGAAGCAUGGCAUCCCGUCAGAUCUGCCCAAUUAAGCCUCGUAACGCCCAGUCAGUAAUGCGGUGGGGGACCACGCGUGAAUCCUGCGGUAAAGUAGAUU
rfam:Mixia osmundae IAM 14324 DNA, contig00171.